rnacentral:rRNA from 1 species
UUCCGGUUGAUCCCGCCGGACCUGACUGCUAUCGGAUUGAUACUAAGCCAUGCGAGUCAUUGUAGUAAUACAAGGCAGACGGCUCAGUAACGCGUAGUCAACCUACCCUAUGGACGGGGAUAACCUCGGGAAACUGAGAAUAAUACCCGAUAGAACAUUAUGCCUGGAAUGGUUUAUGUUUCAAAUAAUUUAUUGCCGUAGGAUGGGACUGCGGCCUAUCAGUUUGUUGGUGAGGUAAUGGCCCACCAAGACUAUUACAGGUACGGGCUCUGAGAGGAGUAGCCCGGAGAUGGGUACUGAGACACGGACCCAGGCCCUAUGGGGCGCAGCAGGCGAGAAAACUUUGCAAUGUGCGAAAGCACGACAAGGUUAAUCCGAGUGGUUUCUGCUAAAGGAACCUUUUGUCAGUCCUAGAAACACUGGUGAAUAAGGGGUGGGCAAGUUCUGGUGUCAGCCGCCGCGGUAAAACCAGCACCUCAAGUGGUCAGGAUGAUUAUUGGGCCUAAAGCAUCCGUAGCCUGCUUUGUUAGUUUUCGGUUAAAUCCAUACGCUCAACGUAUGGGCUGCCGGGAAUACUGCAAAGCUAGGGAGUGGGAGAGGUAGACGGUACUUGGUAGGAAGGGGUAAAAUCCUUUGAUCUAUUGAUGACCACCUGUGGCGAAGGCGGUCUACCAGAACACGUCCGACGGUGAGGGAUGAAAGCUGGGGGAGCAAACCGGAUUAGAUACCCGGGUAGUCCCAGCUGUAAACUAUGCAAACUCAGUGAUGCAUUGGCUUGAUGCCAGUGCAGUGCUGCAGGGAAGCCGUUAAGUUUGCCGCCUGGGAGGUACGUACGCAAGUAUGAAACUUAAAGGAAUUGGCGGGGGAGCACCACAAGGGGUGAAGCCUGCGGUUCAAUUGGAGUCAACGCCGGGA